UUCAAUUUUAUUUGUAUAGCACCAAUUCAUAACAGAAGUUAUCUCAGGACACUUUUCAAAUAGAGCAGGUCUAGACCGAACUCUUUAAAACAUUAUUUACAGAGACCCAACAGUACCACCAUGAGCAAGACUUUGGCGACAAGGGCAAGGAAAAACUGCCUGUUAAAAGGCAGAAACCUAGGACAGAUCCUUCGGCUCUAGGUGGGUGGUCGUCUGUCUCGACCAGUUGGGGUGAGAGAGAGAGAGAGAGAGAGAGAGAGAGAGAGAGAGAGAGAGAGAGAGAGAGAGAGAGAGAGAGAGACAGACAGACA